rnacentral:rRNA from 1 species
GUGUCAGCCGCCGCGGUAAUACGGAGGGUGCAAGCGUUGUCCGGAAUCAUUGGGUGUAAAGGGUGCGUAGGCUGGCGCCUAAGUCUGAGGUGAAAUCUUGCCGCUUAACGGUAAAAUUGCCUUGGAUACUGGGUGUCUUGAAUCUGACAGAGGUCGGUGGAAUUCGUGGUGUAGCGGUGAAAUGCAUAGAUAUCACGAAGAACAUCAGUGGCGAAGGCGGCCGGCUGGGUCAGUAUUGACGCUGAGGCACGAGAGCGUGGGGAGCGAACAGGAUUAGAUACCCUGGUAGUCCACGCUGUAAACGAUGUAUGCUAGUUGUUGGGCCUUCGGGUUCAGUGACGCAGUUAACGCAGUAAGCAUACCACCUGGGGAGUACGUUCGCAAGAAUGAA